CGUGAUGAUCGGAGGCAGGGUCACUUAGCGUCGAACAGUUAAAGAGAACCGUGGAAUUGCACUGGAAAACCAAUCCAGGCACUAUCAGCCAGCCAACCAGCCGGGUAUUGGGGAUGCAAUCAGUGCGUCAGGCUCUCCAACGUCUGACUUUCCCCUCCCUGCCUUGAGCCUGAGUCUACUCUUUACGCGUCCCUCUCCUUGGCCAAGAAAUCUACUCACCCCAGGCAUCAGGUAUUACAGGAUCGAAUGCACCCUUGAGUGACGCUUGAAAGGAGGAUCGGAGUCGGGCGUGGCGUCGCUCAAACCUUCGGCGACGGUGCGGUGCCGGUGCUGAACCUUAUGGACGUCAGGGAGUGCCGGCCACCUGGACCCCUUCACUGCCUCCACCAUCCCACCCUCAAGGCCUGGGGCUGCGGCACGGCACACAGAAGGGCAAGAUGAGGCUCUUCAUGGUGCAGUAAGGUGACCAGGCUCCAAGUUUUCAGGGAAGUCCUGCACUCUGUGAUGUUACAGAGUCCACCAAGUUUGGUAGCAUGAUUCAUCUGCCUUAUCCAGUAUCUUCUACAAUGAAACAUCAGUCCCUCACCUCAAGGGUUACAAAAGUCCUGGAAAUUUACAGCUACUCAAGUUUUUUUUAACAUUCAACUAUAUUUUGGAUCCAAAUGAUCCCCAAUUAAAUAUAUGAAAUGGGUAAGUUCAACUGCACUAGCAAGGCAACUUUAAUAAAUACCCAAUCCAACUGACAGUACUUAGCCUUCCCCAAUUUACUAUAAAAGCUCCCAUCAUGACAAUGAUAAUUUUUAUUAUGUAACUUUACAGUCACAUCUACAAGAAGAGCAGCAGGGAGGCAGUCAGAUGGACCAAGCAAACAAGUGCCUUCAUUAUGAAGGACAGACUAUAUAGGAAACUGAUAAUGGUGCUGUAAGAAGGGUAAAGUACUUUAACAAGGUAUGUAUUAAGAUGGAAAAUGACAAUGUGCAUGUUUUUAUGGUACAAAUAUAAGUUUACUGAUUUUCAAAACAUUAUUUUUCAUGACCUCCUGUCAAGCAUAUAGUCAAUAUACAGAACAUAAGUGCCUCACAUGCAAUUUGGUGUCAAAUAAAAGCAACAAGUGUUAGGGACAUUUUACAAACAAGCAUGCAAUGUGGAAAAAACUCCUUAUAGCUGCGAAACUGUUACUGAAUUUACUCUUUGUACAUCUUUUAUGAAUGCACACUUUACAGUUAAAGAGAAGUUACUGACGUUUUAACACAGCAGGCAAAGCCAAAAUGAUUGAAUCAACUAACACAGUAUACA